rnacentral:snRNA from 1 species
AUCCUUGGAUCAUUUCGGACGG